AAACAGCAGCUACUAGUAUGGCAGCACGAGGUAUCUGACACUGGUCCUAGAGCUGCAUAUCCAUGAACAUCCUCAGCAUGCACUGGAUGUUCCAAAUUAUCUUCCACCUCUGCCAACACCAGAUGAACUGAAUUGCUCACAGAUUGGAACUGCUGACAUAAACCGUCAAUUUAACACCUGGGACAGUCCAAUCCUUAUCUUCGUGUUUCCACUAAGGUGAAUUCAACCACUGCACUUCAAUCAACUUCAGCAUGAGCCUGAUUAACUCAGAGCAUUGGCGGUCUGCACUAAACAACCCAUCAUCUGGCAGUCACUCACACUUUGCCUUCCUGUGGUGUGGCAGAUGGCAGUUUUCACCCCAGCUAUCCCUGCAGCCCAAGGCAGAUGGCAAGACUCCUUGGUCUGUGCUGACAAACUAAGGCUUCCUCAGUGAUCAAAUAAGAUACUCCCAACCUAAUUCUGGCUCACCUGGAGCUGCCUCUGCAUCUGGAGAUGUGAUAUCACAGGGAAUAAAACACUGCUCAAACUGUGGUGUUAUGGA